AUUGAACGCUGGCGGCAGGCUUAACACAUGCAAGUCGAGCGGGGGAAGGUAGCUUGCUACCGGACCUAGCGGCGGACGGGUGAGUAAUGCUUAGGAAUCUGCCUAUUAGUGGGGGACAACAUCUCGAAAGGGAUGCUAAUACCGCAUACGUCCUACGGGAGAAAGCAGGGGAUCUUCGGACCUUGCGCUAAGAGAUGAGCCUAAGUCGGAUUAGAUAGUUGGUGGGGUAAAGGCCUACCAAGGCGACGAUCUGUAGCGGGUCUGAGAGGAUGAUCCGCCACACUGGGACUGAGACACGGCCCAGACUCCUACGGGAGGCAGCAGUGGGGAAUAUUGGACAAUGGGGGGAACCCUGAUCCAGCCAUGCCGCGUGUGUGAAGAAGGCCUUAUGGUUGUAAAGCACUUUAAGCGAGGAGGAGGCUACUCUAGUUAAUACCUAGGGAUAGUGGACGUUACUCGCAGAAUAAGCACCGGCUAACUCUGUGCCAGCCGCCGCAGUAA
rnacentral:rRNA from 1 species